rnacentral:rRNA from 1 species
UAGGGAAUAUUGCACAAUGGGCGAAAGCCUGAUGCAGCAACGCCGCGUGCGCGAUGACGGCCUUCGGGUUGUAAAGCGCUUUUCGGGGAGAUGAGGAAGGACAGUAUCCCCGGAAUAAGGCUCGGCUAACUACGUGCCAGCAGCCGCGGUAACACGUAGGAGCCAAGCGUUAUCCGAAUUCACUGGGCGUAAAGCGCGUGUAGGCGGCUUGGUAAGUUGGAUGUGAAAGCUCCUGGCUCAACUGGGAGUGGACGUUCAAUACUGCCGGGCUAGAGGGCGACAGAGGGAGGUGGAAUUCCCGGUGUAGGGGUGAAAUGCGUAGAUAUCGGGAGGAACACCAGUGGCGAAAGCGGCCUCCUGGGUCGCACCUGACGCUCAGACGCGAAAGCUAGGGAGCGAACGG